UACGGAGGGUGCAAACGUUGCUCGGAAUCAUUGGGCGUAAAGCGCACGUAGGCGGCUCGUUAAGUCGGAUGUGAAAGCCCCGGGCUCAACCUGGGAACUGCAUCCAAAACUGGCAAGCUAGAGUACGGUAGAGGGUGGUGGAAUUUCCUGUGUAGCGGUGAAAUGCGUAGAUAUAGGAAGGAACACCAGUGGCGAAGGCGACCACCUGGACUGAUACUGACACUGAGGUGCGAAAGCGUGGGGAGCAAACAGG
rnacentral:rRNA from 1 species